GGCCUGGUGGUGUAUUGGUAACACAUCUCGGAUUUAUUGGAAGCUGCUAGACGUUUAGGAGGAAGAACCCCGUUCGAUUCGGGGCCAGGCCA